CCCGCGCGGCGGCGCUCCACUGGGUCCACACAGACACCUGCCGCGCCUGCACUUGAAAGGCCGCCGGGCCCAGUUCCCGACGAGGAAGGGUCCCCGGCGUACCCAGGCCUGGUCGGACGCGGCCUGGCCUAGGAGCAGCUCCCACGCAUUACACCUCGCACCUACCGCCGGCUCCCGCCAAAGCAGCAGUCGCGCGAGAGCUGGCCGGAAAACUAUGCCUGGUGGCCUCAGCGCGCAGGCGUAAAACCGCCCUGUGAACCAAUGGGGACGCGCGCUGGGCCGGAAGUCCCGCCCCUCCCUGUAGCGCCCGCCCUCAACCCAUUGCGGCGCCCUGGCUCUGGGCCUGGUGUGCGGGCAGGGCUUCCCUUGCCAGAGGCCCUGCAAGCCACAUAGGGACCUCUGAAGACAUCUGUGAGACCAACAAGCACCCAGCAGGAGACCAGCGAGCAACGGCAUGCAGUGUGGGAUAAAGGAAGGAGAGGAUGAGGGCGCUUUGUUCCCGCGCUGCCGCUCCCUCCUCCGUGGGCCGCCUGACAUGCCAGAGCAUUCCAGAUUUCGGGACAUUGUGACACCGUGGAAGCAAUGACAGAUGUGAGCCUGCUGGCCCCGGAUGACAGAAGCCAGGGAGCUCUGAGGCUGAGGCCGGAAUGCUGCAGACUGGAACGGCCGUGGUUGUGACAUACCUGGGCAUCAUCUGCCAGAGUUCUGUCCUCUGAGGUGCUGCCGUUUUGGAAGAAAGGUGUUUGGUGGUGGUCGUGAUGGUUUCCUGCAAUCUGGACAUUUAAAAGGAAGCCUUGCUUUACAUCUGUGCCUGAGCUGGGGUGCUGAGGACCGAGUGUGCUCUUCUCAGGCAGUCUGCGGACUGACCAUGACCAUCGUGGCUCUUGGAAUGGCAGAAACACACCUGGGCUCGGCAGUGCCCAACCUGGGCUGGACCUAAGGAGAGAGAGAGCCCUUGUUGACAGAAUUACGAUUCCAAGAGAUUUUGAGAAAAGGCGAUUUAUGACCUAAAAAAGUGUCUUGAGACCUGGUGACCGCAGAGCAGUAGAGUGAGCAGAGCACUGGACUUCUUGGGUUCUCCUCCUAAUGGAACUCUUCUUUACACUGAUUGCAAGCCACAUCCACUUAAGGCAGAAGGGGGUGACCAUCUGGCCGCUUACGUCACAAGUCAAGCAUGGCUUAUUAUGGACAAGGUGUGGACGGGUGUGGUAAUGGUCACCCAACCAUGUGAAUGGACUUAUACUCCUGGACUAUAUCCUAACAGUGGUUAAGAAGGUCAAUUCCAGCGAGUGAGUUCCGCCUCCACACCACCAUCGGCAGCAGAUCACCUCAUACACACACAGCGGCAGAAUCCUCAGGGUUGAGGAGAAGCAGUUUGUGGAUCGGCUGCAUUCAGAAGGCAGAAGAGUGGCCCAAGGAUGUGCCCAUCCUGAUCCCUGAGCCCUGAACACGCAGGUGGGCCCAAAGGUGCUAACCAGACUUUGCUUUGAGAAGAGAGUCCCUGGCCGCUGUGCUUGCGAGGGGCCGCCUAGAAUCUGCUCCCUGGGACUCAGCCUGCCGUGCACAGCUAUCUGUCCUAUCCAUCACCCUAUUUCCUCCCUUUUGGAAUGGGAAUGCUUACCCUUUGCCUUUCUUUUGAAUUAUACAGGGGCUCGCAGCUAAGAGUUUGCCUUAAAUCUCAAACGAGACUUUCGGACUUGGGUUUUUCAGCAGUGCUGAAACUGGUAGGACUUUGGCAACUCCUAGAGAUGGAGUAAAUGCAUUUUGCAUAAAGUGAUGUGCAUGAGUGUGUUGGAGGCAGGGGCAGAAUGCUCUGGUUUACACAGAUGUCCCCGCCAAGCCUCAUGUGUCUGUGGGUGGGGCCUUGGGGAGGUGACUGCAUCAUCAGGCAGUGAUGUUCUUGGAUGGAUUAGUCUACUGAGGACCACAUAGCCGAAUGUGAUGUUGGGAGGUGAAGCCUGGUUGGAGGAGGUGGGUGGCGGGGGGCGUGGCCUGGAAGGGUU